AUUUAAGUGGUUGAUUUUAAAUGUUUUAAACUUGGUAGCUAGCAAUCGAGAGUUCGAAUCUCUCACUCACCGCCA
rnacentral:tRNA from 3 species